GCCAGUGUGGUGUAGUGGUUUGAGUGCUAGACUGCAACUCUGGAGACCUAAGUUCAAUUCCCAGUUUGGCC